rnacentral:rRNA from 1 species
AUUGAACGCUGGCGGCAGGCCUAACACAUGCAAGUCGAGCGGAUGAAGGGAGCUUGCUCCUGGAUUCAGCGGCGGACGGGUGAGUAAUGCCUAGGAAUCUGCCUGGUAGUGGGGGAUAACGUCCGGAAACGGGCGCUAAUACCGCAUACGUCCUGAGGGAGAAAGUGGGGGAUCUUCGGACCUCACGCUAUCAGAUGAGCCUAGGUCGGAUUAGCUAGUUGGUGGGGUAAAGGCCUACCAAGGCGACGAUCCGUAACUGGUCUGAGAGGAUGAUCAGUCACACUGGAACUGAGACACGGUCCAGACUCCUACGGGAGGCAGCAGUGGGGAAUAUUGGACAAUGGGCGAAAGCCUGACGCAGCCAUGCCGCGUGUGUGAAGAAGGUCUUCGGAUUGUAAAGCACUUUAAGUUGGGAGGAAGGGCAGUAAGUUAAUACCUUGCUGUUUUGACGUUACCAACAGAAUAAGCACCGGCUAACUUCGUG